rnacentral:miRNA from 1 species
UGGGGCCAGAUAAAGCCUGAACGUUGGGCGUAUCUGUGUGCUAGGGCUGCCAUAACAA